rfam:Oryza glumipatula chromosome 9, whole genome shotgun sequence.
UCCCGUCAUUGCUGCCAACGAGGGGGGGGGGUGCUGCAACAAGGAGAGGAGGACGGAGUGGGGCAAGUGGAGCAUCGAAGGGGAUGUCGUCGCCGCCGAAUCCGCUCGUGGGACAUCCCCUUCGACGCUUCACUCGCCCCACUCCGUCCUCUUCUCCUUGUUGCUGCACCCCCCCUUCGCUGGCUGCGACAACGGC